rnacentral:rRNA from 1 species
UAGGGAAUCUUCCACAAUGGACGCAAGUCUGAUGGAGCAACGCCGCGUGAGUGAAGAAGGUUUUCGGAUCGUAAAGCUCUGUUGUUGGUGAAGAAGGAUCGAGGUAGUAACUGGCCUUUAUUUGACGGUAAUCAACCAGAAAGUCACGGCUAACUACGUGCCAGCAGCCGCGGUAAUACGUAGGUGGCAAGCGUUGUCCGGAUUUAUUGGGCGUAAAGCGAGCGCAGGCGGAAGAAUAAGUCUGAUGUGAAAGCCCUCGGCUUAACCGAGGAACUGCAUCGGAAACUGUUUUUCUUGAGUGCAGAAGAGGAGGGUGGAAUUCCAUGUGUAGCGGUGGAAUGCGUAGAUAUAUGGAAGAACACCAGUGGCGAAGGCGACUCUCUGGUCUGCAACUGACGCUGAGGCUCGAAAGCAUGGGUAGCGAACAGG